GACGUAGGGCGCGAGCGUUGUCCGGAUUUAUUGGGCGUAAAGAGCUCGUAGGCGGCUUGUCGCGUCGAAUGUGAAAACUCGGGGCUCAACUCCGAGCUUGCAUUCGAUACGGGCAGGCUAGAGUUCGGUAGGGGAGACUGGAAUUCCUGGUGUAGCGGUGAAAUGCGCAGAUAUCAGGAGGAACACCGGUGGCGAAGGCGGGUCUCUGGGCCGAUACUGACACUGAGGAGCGAAAGCGUGGGGAGCGAACAGG
rnacentral:rRNA from 1 species